rnacentral:rRNA from 1 species
AAGGGGGACCUUCGGGCCUCUUGCCAUCAGAUGUGCCCAGAUGGGAUUAGCUAGUANGUGGGGUAACGGCUCACCUANGCGACGAUCCCUAGCUGGUCUGAGAGGAUGACCAGCCACACUGGAACUGAGACACGGUCCAGACUCCUACGGGAGGCAGCAGUGGGGAAUAUUGCACAAUGGGCGCAAGCCUGAUGCACCAUGCCGCGUGUAUGAAGAAGGCCUUCGGGUUGUAAAGUACUUUCAGCGAGGAGGAAGGCAUUAA